UUUAAAUGUGUGUAUUCAUUAUUUUAGCAUUUUGGUGCAUUUUCUUAAAAAAUUAAAAAUUCUGCCUAAAUACCACAGUAUAGCUCCACCUUCAGCUUAAAACAUAGAAUUUGACUCAUUUUGAAUAAAUUUUAGCCAAUGGCUAAAGAGUAAGAUACUACGUAAUCCAGUAGAGUACUACGUAGCAGCUCUGUGUCAACGUUAUAAAAGCAUCGGGAGUCUCGGCCACGCCUUGUGGCGAGUUGGGAGUUGGAUUUGCAUGAGAGUGUAGGAGGCUAGCCGUAGUUCAGCAUUAGCAUAUAGCAUUAGCAUAUCCUAGUCUUUAGCAUAGCUUUUAGUGUUAUACAUACUUAUUUAGUGUUAGCUUGGCUGUUGGAUAUUGUAGUUUAGUUACUGUUUGGCUGUUAGUGUAAUUAGGAAAGUAGUUCGGGUUUAGUGCUCCAUAUCGUCUUAGCAUGGUGAGAUGGUGUAGUGUAGUAUGGUUGCGGAGCUCUGUCGGGUUGCACUCCUUUCCGCUGGACUUAGAAAUUAGGCGCCAGUGGUUGCGUGUCUGGAAAAGAUUCAGCUCCCGCCUGGUGCUGUAGUUUGCAACCAGCAUUUUACCCGCGAUUCUGCACGUCUCCGUUCCAAGAGGGAGGCUGUGCCCACCGUGGCUCUUCCGCGAUUUAGAUGCAGCCCACCAACUCUGCUCCCCCACCAUGACGGGCUACAGUCUGAGGCUAAAUCUACCCAAGACACUGGCUGUCAGACUGAUUUAGUAAUCUGCAAGAAUGCACUUGUCCAGGCUGACGUGGUGUUACCCGUAGCAAAGAGCUCACAGCCUCAGUGUCUUGUGACACAGGGACCAUGACAGAAAUUCAUCUUCCAGAAGGUCCCAGAGCAUCCACACCUCCUGAAAAGACCACGGUGUGAGGUGUCUGCUGUUGAUUCCAGCUUCCACCUCAGUGACAGUGCAAGCUCAGUGAACUGUUCAAGGAGGCUACUGAUUCUGGCCCUGUGACACUUGGUGGUCACCACCAGGUGGUGACGUGUGAGCUGAUUCACCUGGUAAAUAACUUUUAAAUUAAAUAUUUUGUUUUUGCUAUCAAAAGUAAAUUAACUAAUAACCUGCAUUACUGCAGGACACUCUGCAAAAUAUGGACUCUACACCAUGAGGCAGGCACACGUUAAUAACUCUAUAAGAGCACAUAAGGUAAGCAACACCACAUAUUAUUUUUAUUACUGUACACUGUCCUGGAUUUGUUUUCUUUCUGCAUGAUUUGUUUUCUUUCUGCAUCUCAUCAUUAGCCUGGCUGAUCACCUGAUAACUCCUGUCAUCUGGUUAUGACAGCAUGAGGAUGUCCUCACACACCUGUAACCUAUCAGCUCAUCUGGCAGAAUAGAGAGAGAAGAGACAACACCACAUCUCCUGUUCCUGGAAAGCCUUCAGCCAUCCUUCGAUGACUGAGAACCUCCAUCAGCUCUGUCUCCUGUCUGCCUACAAUUAUUAUAAUAAAUAUUGUGUUUGACAAGUU